rnacentral:rRNA from 1 species
UACGAAGGGGGCUAGCGUUGUUCGGAAUUACUGGGCGUAAGGCGUGCGCAGGCGGCUUCUCAAGUCAGGGGUGAAAGCCCAGAGCUCAACUCUGGAAUUGCCUUUGAGACUGAGUGGCUUGAGUACGGGAGAGGUGAGUGGAAUUCCCAGUGUAGAGGUGAAAUUCGUAGAUAUUGGGAAGAACACCGGUGGCGAAGGCGGCUCACUGGCCCGUAACUGACGCUCAUGCACGACAGCGUGGGGAUCAAACAGG